rnacentral:ncRNA from 1 species
AUUGGGUAAAGCCACUGAUUAGAGGCAUCGGGGGCGCAAUGCCCUCAACCUAUUCUCAAACUUUAAAUAGGU